rnacentral:rRNA from 1 species
AGGACGAACGCUGGCGGCGUGCCUAACACAUGCAAGUCGAACGAGGUCCAACCGGUAGCAAUACCGGUGAAGAUCAAGUGGCGAACGGGUGAGUAGCACGUGAGCAACCUGCCCCGAAGACCGGGACAACACCGGGAAACCGGUGCUAAUACCGGAUAUCCCCACCGAGUCGCAUGGCUCAGUGAGGAAAUGGAUUCCGCUUCGGGAGGGGCUCGCGGCCUAUCAGCUAGUUGGUGAGGUAACGGCUCACCAAGGCUUCGACGGGUAGCUGGUCUGAGAGGACGAUCAGCCACACUGGGACUGAGACACGGCCCAGACUCCUACGGGAGGCAGCAGUGGGGAAUCUUGCACAAUGGGCGAAAGCCUGAUGCAGCAACGCCGCGUGAGGGACGAAGGCUUUCUGAGUUGUAAACCUCUUUCAGCAGGGACGAUUGUGACGGUACCUGCAGAAGAAGCCCCGGCCAACUACGCGCCAGCAGCCGCGGUAAU